CCCAGGCAGAGAUGCAGUUUGCUCCCUGUGAGGAAGAAGUGCAGCAACAGCAGAGUGACCUCUCAGGGUAUACAGUGGAUCAAGACAUUCUGAAAUAUGAGGGCUACUCUGACCACUAUAUCAUGACAAGCUGAAGGUGAUGAGUUCCAGAGACAGGCAGGAGAAGACAACCUUUCUUUUGCAACACAACUUGGAUUGAUGAAAGAUUGACAACAAUUUUCUGAGGACCAGAUGUUUUGGAGGCUCUCACGGGAAUACAGUUUUCAUCUCAACAUAAUGAGCAACAGUAGUUUCCAGGAUCCAGCUCAGCUCCAGUGAAACAAAUGAAUCUUUCCACUGGCAUAGAGAGAAAAAAGAGCAAGGUCUGAAGGCCCUCUAUUUCAGCCAGACAAACAGCAUCACCUCGAUAGCACUGAGCCCAGCCUUCCAGGAGGAGCAGAGCAUGGGAAAUCAGGGACAACCUGAUCACAUCCACCCAUGUUUCAGUUUGCUUCCAGGUUGCUUGCAGUGUCUGCAGUCACCAGCAUUUGCUUGAAUUUCAUCUCUUCCCUUCUACCCAAGAAAUCACUCUCGCUGAUGACAGAAAUAACCAUUUCCAUAGCUGAUAUUGCCACAUAUUCAUAAUAUUCUGACCCAAGACAAGAUUUCCAUCUGAGCAAGCUGGGAAAUACAUCCUCAUCAAGCUACAAACUCUCCUCCAGACAACUA